rnacentral:rRNA from 1 species
UACGUAGGGUGCGAGCGUUGUCCGGAAUUAUUGGGCGUAAAGAGCUCGUAGGCGGCUUGUCGCGUCGGCUGUGAAAGCCCGGGGCUUAACUCCGGGUCUGCAUUCGAUACGGGCAGGCUAGAGUGCGGUAGGGGAGAUCGGAAUUCCUGGUGUAGCGGUGAAAUGCGCAGAUAUCAGGAGGAACACCGAUGGCGAAGGCAGGUCUCUGGGCCGCUACUGACGCUGAGAAGCGAAAGCAUGGGGAGCGAACAGG